UGUGAUGGAUACAACCCCAGAUCUGUUUCACAAUGAUCAGCUGUCCAUUGUGUUACGAGACUGUUUUCACUGCAAAAUAUAUGAAAGACUUGUAUCGCUCAUUAAAAUAAGUAAUAACAACUUACAUUUAUUUAAUAUUCUACAAGAUUUCUUAGAAAGAAAUGAACAACUGGUGGAUAAUUGUAGAGGUCAAUUUUCUGACAACGCUGCUAAUAUGGCAGAUUAUUAGCCAUGUACUGCGCAUUCUCUUGAUCUAGUUGGUGGAGAAUCUGUUAAGGAUGCAAUGGAAAUCUUAAACUAUUUUGGAGUAGUGCAAAAAAUAAAUGUUUUUUUCUGCUUCAUCCCAACGGUGAGAACUGCUAAAUCGUGAAACAAAACUAAAAUUUACUUUAAAAAGUUUAACUCAGACUAGAUGGUCAUGUCACUGCGAUACUGUCAAGGCUUUAAAAAAUAAUUAUGAUGUCAUUUUGAAAAUUUUUCUGAAAUUUCAGGAACGAUAAGAAUGCGAAAGUUGAUUUUGGAAAAGAGACAAAGAAUUUAUUUAACAAACUAGUGAAACUCGGUACUCCAUUUUUAAUUAUUUUUUAGAAGAAAUUUUAGAGAGAUUCAAUUUAGUUAAGAGAAAAUUACAGAGUCCUAAUUAGAUAUUUGCGAAAGCAAUAAGAUAUUUACGUCACUAAAAGAGUUUUUAAGCAACACACGGCAGCAAUCAGAUCAGAAACUAAAGGAAUAUGAAGAAGAUAUAUUUACAGAUGAAGUCUCAUUAUAAGGCGCAGAAAAAUUUUGGAUUUCUGUAGAAGGCAUGCUUUCCAACUUAUUGGAAAGCUUGCAUUUGGUAUCUACGGCGAAGUUAGCCAGAAAGGAAAGUACGGUAACUUUCAACUUGGGAGAAACUGAAAAUCCAACUACGGCCAGCCCGUCCGCGGUAUUACAGCCCAAAUUUACUCGCAAACGGAAGAGGAAGGCUCGGCAGAAGGGAACUUCGGCCACUAAGGAGGGACUACAGGCUAAAUCCUGCCUGUCAGAACCUUCUCCUUCACCCUUACCGGGAAGAGCGGAAG